UACGAAGGGUGCAAGCGUUACUCGGAAUUACUGGGCGUAAAGCGUGCGUAGGUGGUUUUUUAAGUCCGUUGUGAAAGCCCUGGGCUCAACCUGGGAAUGGCAGUGGAUACUGGAAAGCUAGAGUGCGGUAGAGGGUAGUGGAAUUCCCGGUGUAGCAGUGAAAUGCGUAGAGAUCGGGAGGAACAUCCGUGGCGAAGGCGACUACCUGGACCAGCACUGACACUGAGGCACGAAAGCGUGGGGAGCAAACAGG
rnacentral:rRNA from 1 species